rnacentral:rRNA from 1 species
GAUGAACGCUGGCGGCGUGCCUAAUACAUGCAAGUCGAGCGAACAGACGAGGAGCUUGCUCCUCUGACGUUAGCGGCGGACGGGUGAGUAACACGUGGAUAACCUACCUAUAAGACUGGGAUAACUUCGGGAAACCGGAGCUAAUACCGGAUAAUAUAUUGAACCGCAUGGUUCAAUAGUGAAAGACGGUUUUGCUGUCACUUAUAGAUGGAUCCGCGCCGCAUUAGCUAGUUGGUAAGGUAACGGCUUACCAAGGCAACGAUGCGUAGCCGACCUGAGAGGGUGAUCGGCCACACUGGAACUGAGACACGGUCCAGACUCCUACGGGAGGCAGCAGUAGCGAAUCUUCCGCAAUGGGCGAAAGCCUGACGGAGCAACGCCGCGUGAGUGAUGAAGGUCUUCGGAUCGUAAAACUCUGUUAUUAGGGAAGAACAAAUGUGUAAGUAACUAUUCACGUCUUGACGGUACCUAAUCAGAAAGCCACGGCUAACUACGUG